AGCGAACGCUGGCGGCGUGCCUAACACAUGCAAGUCGAACGGUUCUGUUGGGGGCUUGCUCUCGACAGAGUAGUGGCAAACGGGUGAGUAACACGUGGGUAAUCUUCCUUCGAGUGAGGAAUAACUUCGGGAAACCGGAGCUAAUACUGCAUAACAUCUUGGAACGGCAGUUUCAAGAUCAAAGGGGGCGCAAGCUCCCGCUUGAAGUUGAGCUCGCGUCCUAUCAGCUAGUUGGUGAGGUAAUGGCUCACCAAGGCUCCGACGGGUAGCCGGCCUGAGAGGGUGGCCGGCCACACUGGGACUGAGACACGGCCCAGACUCCUACGGGAGGCAGCAGUGGGGAAUAUUGCGCAAUGGACGAAAGUCUGACGCAGCGACGCCGCGUGGGUGAUGAAGGCCUUCGGUCGUAAAGCCUCGUUGAGGGAGAGAAAGCUACUGUCGGUUAAUACCCGGCAGUGGUGAUAGUAUCCCUAGAGAAAGACACCGGCUAACUAACGUGCC
rnacentral:rRNA from 1 species